GCUGAAAUUUAUUUAUAAACAAAAAAUUUACCAUCACAUGGAUGUAGUCUGAUUGAGUUAUUGUGCAUUUGAUCCUUUUUUGAAAUAAAUAAAUAAAUUGAAAAAUCCUAAACUUGCGAUAUUUUAUUAACUUGAUAUAGGGAUAUGCAGGUAUCACUUUGAAGUGUGUUGGAGCAUCCAUGGGUGAGAAGCAACCGUUGACAAAGAAGCUGCCAACAACAACUACGGUUGGUAAGCUGAAAUUUAUGUGAGGGCUUUUUUAAGCUGAAGUAAUUGGAGCUAUAGUUAUUUCUUCAAGAAGAGGUUUGUUUUCAUUGAAAAAAAAAGAAAUAGCACGUGUGUUCAAAUCACGAUUGCCUGAUUCAGUUACUGGCGACUUAAUCUUGAAAAAUCAUUUCAUUUUCCCUUGA